rnacentral:rRNA from 1 species
UACGAAGGGGGCGAGCGUUGUUCGGAUUUACUGGGCGUAAAGGGCGCGUAGGCGGCCUUGUCAGUCAGGCGUGAAAGCCCCGGGCUCAACCUGGGAGGUGCGCUUGGGACGGCGAGGCUGGAGUUCGGGAGAGGAGAGUGGAAUUCCCAGUGUAGAGGUGAAAUGUGUAGAGAUCGGGAGGAACACCGGUGGCGAAGGCGGGUCUCUGGGCAUUUCCUGACGCUGAGGCGCGAAAGCGUGGGGAGCAAACGGG